UAUCGCAGCGAACGGGUGAGGAAUACGCAAAUAUUUUCUGUCUACCUUUUAAUUUAAGAUAAACUAUACCUAUCAAAAACUUUGAUUUUUUUUAGGGUAAAACUAUUUUCUUAGUUUGUAGUAAUAUUGAAUAGUUUUUUAGUUUUAAACUACUAAAAAGAUAAAAAUUGUAAAAUAAGCAAUUGUUAAAAGAUGAGUUUGUGGAAGAUUAGGUUGUUGGUAGAAAUAAAAGUUUACCAAGCCUUUGAUCUUUAGUUGGUCUUAGAGGACGUACAACCACACUGGAACUGAGACAAGGUCCAGGCUAAUUUUUUGGCCAGCAGUGAGGAAUAUUGGACAAUGAGCGAAAGUUUGAUCCAGCAAUAUUAUGUGAAUGAUUGACGACUAAUUUUUGGUUGUAAAAUUCUUUCGUUAAAAAUGAUAAUGACGUUAUUUAAAGAAGUUUUAGUCCCGGCUAAUCUCGUGCCAGCAGCCGCGGUAAUACGGGAGGGGCAAGCGUUAUCCGAAAUUACUGGGCGUAAAGAGUCCGUAGAUUGUAAUAUAAGUUAUAUGUUAAAAUUUAAAGCUUAACUUUAAAAAAAUAUACAAUACUGUUUUACUUGA
rnacentral:rRNA from 1 species